UACAGACGGUCCAAACGUUAUUCGGAAUCACUGGGCUUAAAGAGUUCGUAGGCGGUCAGGAAAGUGGGGUGUGAAAGCCCUCGGCUCAACCAAGGAAGUGCAUCCGAAACUGCUGUGCUUGAGUACUUAAGAGGAUCGCGGAAUUCCCGGUGUAGAGGUGAAAUUCGUAGAUAUCGGGAGGAACACCAGUGGCGAAGGCGGCGAUCUGGGAAGAUACUGACGCUGAGGUGCGAAAGCGUGGGGAGCAAACAGG
rnacentral:rRNA from 1 species